ACGAUGUGUGUUAGACGUUGGAAAUUUAUUUUCAGUGUCGCAGCGAAAGCGAUAAACACACCGCCUGGGGAGUACGACCGCAAGGUUAAAACUCAAAUGAAUUGACGGGGACCCGCACAAGUAGUGGAGCAUGUGGUUUAAUUCGAAGAUACGCGCAGAACCUUACCAACACUUGACAUGUUCGUCGCGACUCUAAGAGAUUAGAGUUUUCGGUUCGGCCGGACGAAACACAGGUGCUGCAUGGCUGUCGUCAGCUCGUGUCGUGAGAUGUUGGGUUAAGUCCCGCAACGAGCGCAACCCUCACUUUUAGUUGCCAUCAUUAAGUUGGGCACUCUGAAAGAACUGCCAGUGAUAAGCUGGAGGAAGGUGGGGAUGACGUCAAGUCCUCAUGGCCCUUACGUGUUGGGCUACACACGUGCUACAAUGGUAUCUACAACAGGAAGCAAGACUGCGAGGUCAAGCAAAUCCUUAAAAGAUACCUCAGUUCGGAUUGCACUCUGCAACUCGAGUGCAUGAAGCUGGAAUUACUAGUAAUCGUGGAUCAGCGUGCCACGGUGAAUGCGUUCCCGGGUCUU
rnacentral:rRNA from 1 species